rnacentral:rRNA from 1 species
UGACCUCAAAUCGGGUGAAACUACCC